rnacentral:pre_miRNA from 1 species
GGCUUAAUUACUCAUUUAGUCCCUUAACUUAUUUUUUGGUUUUGUUUUGGUCCCUUAACUAUUAAAAGUUUCGUUUUGGUCCCUUAACUCUAAUACAUUCAUCUAACAUAAAGGACCAAAGUGGUUGACGGAGGAAGAGUUAAGGGACCAAAAUGAAACCAAAAAAUAAGUUAAGGGACCAAAACGAAACUUUUAAUAGUUAAGGGACCAAAACGAAACCAAAAAGUAAGUUAAGGGACCAAAACGAAACUUUUAAUAGUUAAGGGA